rnacentral:rRNA from 1 species
UGGGGAAUAUUGCACAAUGGGGGAAACCCUGAUGCAGCCAUGCCGCGUGUGUGAAGAAGGCCUUCGGGUUGUAAGCACUUUCAGCGAGGAGGAAAGGUUGUCGCCUAAUACGCGUCAACUGUGACGUUACUCGCAGAAAAAGCACCGGCUAACUCCGUGC